GUGACGCGUUUGCUUGGGGUCCGUGAGAGAGUGAUGUACGCGUCGUCUCACACUGCGAAUGGUGCGAAUGGAAUGUACGGACAACCGUGAUCGACUCGUUGGAGCUGUUAAUAUAACCGAUCACCUCUCCGCUGCUACGGGUCUGUCACUGUAGACCUCAUGGAGCUGGGUGCCAGAAGAGGGCAUUGGCCUGCCAGACACCAUUGUUGCUCCACCCCCCGGGACCAGCCUUAAAAAGGGAGGGCCCCGCUUCCUCUGUCUGCCACCCCCUCCCUGCACCACCCCCGCCCUGCUCAGAGAUGAUCGGGAAACUGAAGCAGAACCUGCUGGUGGCCUGUCUGGUCAUCAGCUCGGUCACUGUCUUCUACCUGGGCCGGCACGCCAUGGAGUGCCACCACCGCAUCGAGGAGCGGUCGCAGCCAUCCUCACCUGGUGGGCUGCGGGCCACCCUGCACACAAGCCACAACGUCAGUGCGGCUGGCCCCGCCUACAGCAAGGACAUGCCGCUGAUCUUCAUCGGGGGUGUCCCGCGGAGCGGCACCACGCUGAUGCGGGCCAUGCUGGACGCACACCCUGACGUGCGCUGUGGCGAGGAGACGCGCGUCAUCCCGCGCAUCCUGGCCAUGAAACAGAUGUGGAGCCGCUCAGGCCGCGAGAAGAUGCGCCUGGAUGAGGCGGGCGUGACGGAUGAGGUGCUGGACUCCGCCAUGCAGGCUUUCCUCCUGGAGAUCAUUGUCAAGCAUGGCGAGCCAGCCACCUUCCUCUGCAACAAGGACCCCUUUGCCCUCAAGUCCCUGUCCUACCUGGCCAAGAUCUUCCCGCGCGCCAAGUUCAUCCUGAUGAUUCGCGAUGGCCGUGCCUCGGUUCAUUCCAUGAUCUCCCGCAAGGUCACCAUCGCCGGCUUCGACCUGGGCAGCUACCGGGACUGCCUGACCAAGUGGAACCGGGCCAUCGAGACCAUGUACACACAGUGCCUGGAGGCAGCAGACAAGUGCCUGCCGGUGCACUAUGAGCAGCUGGUGCUGCACCCGGAGAAGUGGAUGCGCACGCUCCUCAGGUUUCUGGACAUUCCCUGGAACGAUGCUGUACUGCACCAUGAGGAGCUCAUUGGCAAGGCGGGGGGUGUGUCCCUCUCCAAGGUAGAGCGCUCCACAGACCAGGUGAUCAAGCCGGUUAACGUGGAGGCCCUGUCCAAGUGGGUAGGGAAGAUCCCCGGGGAUGUGCUGAGGGACAUGCCUGUCGUUGCACCCAUGCUGGCCCGACUUGGAUACGACCCCCAUGCCAACCCCCCAAACUAUGGCAGGCCAGACCCCAAGGUCCUGGACAACACCAGAAGGGUCUUUAAAGGUGAAUUUCAGCUCCCUGAUUUUCUAAAAGAACAGCCACAGCUCCAGAAAUCGCCAGAGAAACCUGACCCCAGUUAGGAGGAAGAAGAGGAGGAUCAGCUGCCACACCCACAGAAGCUUGAAUGAAAAUGGAAAAGACAUGCAACUGGGUGAUCUUUUCGAGAGCAGUGUCCUGGCCCUUUCCCUGAGAGUGUUGCUAUUUCUUCUCCUGACCACUGAGUGGCACUGUCUGUUGUGUUUCAGGGUGGAGAGGAAUGGAGCACAGAGGGACAGACGAGACAAGAGACAAAACCUACAGUCGUUACUGAAGUGUGGGAUCACACAUACACACACUUCUGCACUCACAACCACAUGCACACAUACAUGCACACAUGCACAUACUG